rnacentral:tRNA from 1 species
ACUUAAGUAGUUUAAAUUAAAAUGAUAAUUUGUGGCAUUAUUGAUGUAUUUUACCUUAAGUU